rnacentral:rRNA from 1 species
GACGAACGCUGGCGGCGUGCCUAAUACAUGCAAGUAGAACGCUGAAGGAGGAGCUUGCUUCUCUGGAUGAGUUGCGAACGGGUGAGUAACGCGUAGGUAACCUGCCUGGUAGCGGGGGAUAACUAUUGGAAACGAUAGCUAAUACCGCAUAAGAGUAGAUGUUGCAUGACAUUUGCUUAAAAGGUGCAAUUGCAUCACUACCAGAUGGACCUGCGUUGUAUUAGCUAGUUGGUGAGGUAACGGCUCACCAAGGCGACGAUACAUAGCCGACCUGAGAGGGAGAGCGGCCAAACACGGAGCGAGACACGGCACAGAAUCCUGCGGGUGGCACCAGUAGGGAAUCCUAGGCAAUGGACGGAAGUCGGACCGAAGAACGCCGCGAGAGUGAAGAAGGGUUUCGGGUCCUAAAGCUCUGUUGUGAGGGAAGAACGAGUGUGAGAGUGGAAAGUUCACAAUGUGACGGUAUCUUAUCAGAAAGGGACGGCUAACAACGUG